rnacentral:rRNA from 1 species
UACGGGGGGGAGCAAGCGUUGUUCGGAUUUACUGGGCGUAAAGGGCGCGGUAGGCGGUCAGCACAAGUCAGUUGUGAAAUCUCCGGGCUUAACUCGGAAAGGUCAACUGAUACUGUGCGACUAGAGUGCAGAAGGGGCAACUGGAAUUCCUGGUGUAGCGGUGAAAUGCGCAGAUAUCAGGAGGAACACCGAUGGCGAAGGCAGGUCUCUGGGCCACUACUGACGUGAGAAGCGAAAGCAUGGGGAGCGAACAGG